rnacentral:misc_RNA from 1 species
AAGUCGUAACAAGGUUUCCGUAGGUGAACCUGCGGAAGGAUCAUUAAAAGGAUGCUGGGAAACCGGUAGACCCUCCACCCGUGUCUAUCUACUCUUGUUGCUUUGGCAGGCCGUGGCCUCCACCGUAGGUUCAGCCUACGUGUGCUUGCCAGAGAAUCCAACUCUGAAUGUUAGUGAUGUCUGAGUACUAUAAUAGUUAAAACUUUCAACAACGGAUCUCUUGGUUCUG